AUACGUAGGGAGCGAGCGUUGUCCGGAAUUACUGGGCGUAAAGGGCGCGUAGGCGGCGCUUCAAGUCGUCUGUCAAAUGGGAGGGCUUAACCCUUUUUCGCAGACGAAACUGGAGAGCUUGAGAAGCAGAGAGGCUAACAGAAUUCCUGGUGUAGCGGUGAAAUGCGUAGAUAUCAGGAAGAAUACCAGUGGCGAAGGCGGUUUGCUGGCUGCAUACUGACGCUGAAGCGCGAAAGCCAGGGGAGCAAACGGGAUUAGAUACCCCGGUAGUCCUGGCAGUAAACGAUGUAUGCUGGGUGUGAGACUAGCGAUAGUUUCGUGCCGAAGUUAACGCGAUAAGCAUACCGCCUGGGGAGUACGGUCGCAAGAUUGAAACUCAAAUGAAUUGACGGGG
rnacentral:rRNA from 1 species